rnacentral:rRNA from 1 species
UAAGGAAUAUUGGGCAAUGGAGGCAACUCUGACCCAGCCAUGCCGCGUGGAGGAUGAAGGUCCUCUGGAUUGUAAACUUCUUUUAUUUGGGAAGAAAUGCCGACUUUCUAGUUGGUUUGACGGUACCAGAUGAAUAAGCACCGGCUAACUCCGUGCCAGCAGCCGCGGUAAUACGGAGGGUGCAAGCGUUAUCCGGAUUCACUGGGUUUAAAGGGUGCGUAGGCGGGCAUAUAAGUCAGUGGUGAAAUCCCCGAGCUUAACUUGGGAACUGCCGUUGAUACUAUGUGUCUUGAAUAUCGCGGAGGUAAGCGGAAUAUGUCAUGUAGCGGUGAAAUGCAUAGAUAUGACAUAGAACACCGAUUGCGAAGGCAGCUUACUACACGAUCAUUGACGCUGAGGC